UCGUCGAGGGGAAGUCCCACUUGAUUCCCAGGUGGCUCUGGAAGGUUGCCCAGGUCAAUCCUUCAGGAGCUCGAGCCCAUCCCCCAUGCAUGUGUCUGACCAGGGAUUCUCAGAGUCGCCCGGGGUACCAGAGCCACCCAAGAGCUGGCAGGACAGGGCUGGCAGGAAGUCCCAAUUCUGAACCUUCCUGGGACCUCAGGUUCCGGCACCUUACUCAAGGCAAGACGAGCUCAUUCCAUGGCUCCCGGGCACUCAGAAGUUGCCCAGGGAGGUGGUUGGGCCUGAGUGACAUUUUACGGGCAGGAGACAAAUCCAUCCUGUGCCUCCCAGAAGUGGGCACGGAAGGGGUGCUUUGCUCGUGAAGGCCUUUGCUUGGCUGCGCUCAUCAGAUAGCCAGGAAAGAUUUAGGAGGGGAACGUGAUUUUUGUAAAAACAAAUUUCGGUAGGGAGAGCAAAGAGCUUUUGUUCGACUUGAAUACAUAAUAGGUUUAUAAUUCCGUUAGCUGUUGAAAGCGUCCUCCCACCGUGCUCCCCCCAGCAAUUCCCUUCUGAGCUUUGGGAUACAGUGCAGUGUCUGCAGAAUUCCUGUCUCCUGUUUGGCUUCAACAGAUUUAUUUUGUUACCAGAUGAAUGCCUUGCUUUUAGAAGAUACAUUGUGUUGACCCCUUUCUCCCAAAGCAGUUGUCCAACUUUAUACCCCCCAGUGGACGCAAAGCCCUUGGGCAGCUGCCCCCUCCCCUCGCUGGCACCUGGCAGCAGCGCCCCCAGAUACUUCAAGGCAGAGACUCCGGCCUCAAUUUUGCAACGACUGGCAAGUGGCCCUUUCCGGGUCUGGAGAAUGCAGCGAAAAUCUGGCAGAGCAGGCCUGGCCCACGCACCUGUUCCUGCCUGUCCCGCACCCUGGGUGCCCUGCUCCAUUGGGGCUGAAAAGGCUCCUCCUUGCUGCCCUUGGCCCCCAGGUGGGCCCUGUGCUAUGGAAAGGCACUGGCCCUAGGGUCCUGUAGGCCUUGGCUGACCUGUUUCCUCCUCGUCAGGGAAGUUUGUAAUCACCCCUUCCCAGUUGGCCAUCCGCAGAACCAUCUUCUGUCCCGUGUGCCGCAUCUAUGCCGGGUCCCAAUGAGAACAUGGCCCCGCAUCCAGAGCUCAUGGGGGGACCUGAGAGCCAUAGGCACGUGAAUGGGAGAGUCGCAGUGGGGAAUAAGCGGGGCCCUGGUGCAGACCAGAAAAGCCCUUCUGAGGGGUUGGGCCUUUC
rnacentral:lncRNA from 1 species